rnacentral:tRNA from 1 species
ACUAUUUUGGCAGAAAUUUUUAUAGUGCAAUAAGGUUAGAAUUUAUUUAUGUAAUAAAAUUACAGAUAGUA